rnacentral:antisense_RNA from 10 species
GGUAUCGAAAGAUAAUCGCUGGAUUUAAUGUCGGAUUAGAGAUCAAUCUUACAUCUCCACCACCUGGAGCCCAUGUAUCAUACACACCGGAGAUAAACAUGGCUUUGAUCACUAGAAGGAAAGCACCUACUCCUAAAAGAAUUAAAUGAAUUCCUAAAAUGGUGGUCAUUUUGUUUUUAUCUCUCCA